GUGUGUGUGUGUGUGUGUGUGUGUGUAUGUUUGGAGGUUAGAGGACAACUCCGGUGCUGCUCCUUGCUUCCCAAUUUACAUUUUGAGACAAACUUCCUCUUGCCAGUGCUGAAUUCCAAGCUAGCUGUUUGGUGAACUUCGAACUAUGGGCCUCGGCCUUUUCACGGGUUCUAGGGAAUCUGAACUCACAUCCUCAUGUUUCCACUGCAACCGCUUUAUCCACUGAGCCAUCUCUCCAGCUCUUCAGAGCAUUUUUGAAAUGGUAAUUUGGGGAAGGAAAUCACAUAUUGAAUGCAUCAAACCCAUGUUGGAUUCAAAUGAGAGGCAGAAUAAUGAAUGGCAAGUAGGCAUGAUUUGGGGAAACUGUUCGUAACAAGAGCCCUAAGUUGUAGUAGACUGGUCAGGGUUAAUGCUCUAGAAACCUCAUCUGAAGACAGUAUGUGGUGGUCCUUGGGGUUGACUGCCUGGGAUUUAUGUUAUUGUUUAAGUUCAGGUCCAGGAAUGUGAAAAGCGGUAGUGUUUGCCAUCACACUCAGCUUGGACUGUGGCAGGCUCUGUAGUCAGUGAUGAUAUACUGAGUUGCUAAGAGCAUAAACCUGAGUCAGACUGCCCAGAUCGGAAUGCUAGGUCAGAGUGCCAACAUAUGAACCCUGGCUCAGAUUGCUAACAUGAAAGUCCCGUGGUUACUUCUAUGAACUGUUGGGUCAAAUUCUUCACCCUCUAUCGAGUUAGUAUCUCAUUGACAGAAAGACUAUAAUAAUUGCAUUCAGGUACUCCAGGACAGACUAAAUACUUGGCAUUGUGUAGAUUGAGUGUCUGGAGAGGGCAGAAUAAAUGGUCACCUUGCUGUUAAUAUUAUUUUACCAGCUGGGUUGGACUUUGAAUCUGAAGACCUCUUUCUUCUUCCUGCAGAAAGUAGACUUCCUCCACUAAUCUGAGGACCAAGAAGUUUUGUAAAGUGAGCCUUGUAAUCAUCUCUGAGAGAUGCUUUUCUUCCUAAAUGAAUCUCAGUCUAAGAGGCCAUCUGACUACAAGACACUUGGCUUGUAUCCAUUGAUCCCUUCCAGCUCUUAUCAUCACUGCCAGCGGGUGCCUCGGGAGGAUUCCCAAACAAAAUUGCCUCGGGAGGAUUCCCAAACAAAAUACAACAAAACAAAAUCUCAAUCUGCGACCUUAUCUAUGCUAGAUAAGGUGCUUUCUAAUCAGCCAUCUUUCCUGAUUGAUCCCAAGACCCAGCAGAGAGGUAUUUUUGACUAUGUAGAGAAGAUUUUAAAUCUUCAAUGGAAAAAAAAAAUACAAAGUUCUCUAUUUUGUUCAGGCUGUCCUUGAACUCUUGGCCCCAAAUGAUUCUCCUUUCUUAGUCUUCAGUUUGGGCAGGACUACAGGACAGCAGGGAUGUGCUUGGCUUCUGCGGACAGAACAUCUUGCAAUUAAAACUCUCCCUAAAAUGAGUGCAAUUUUAAGGACAGUUUCCGGCAAAGCAAGCCAACCUAAAGCACUUACACACCAGCUCCUUCUUCCUUCAGGCAACACAGAGGCAAGCUAGAGGAGCCAGUGUGUGGUAUGUGGCUUUCUCAAGUGUCUUGCAGCCACUCCCACCUCCACCCCCACCCCCAUGUGGGAAAGCAUUCCUCAGAGGCAGCUCUUAUCUUGGAGACGGUUCAGAACAGAAGUUGUGUUUUGCCGGCUGCCACUUAGGUUUAGCAAACAUGCAGCUGAAGAGCAGGGUUGGUGGGUGAAGGACUGGGAGCCCAGAAGAGCCCUUCACUGCCUGUCCUUGUGCUGGGAGUGUCAGGUUGCUGACUGGGCCCCUUGGUUCAGUCACAGAGCAGGUCUGUGGUGUAGCAGGUGCAGGGGCAUUUCUAGGAGGUACUUGAAUUCUUGUUUGUAGACUAUGAUGGUCGGUUCCUUUAAAUUAUUACUAGUAUUACUCCUCCUCCUACUACCAUUAUUAUUAUUAUUAUUAAUAGUUUGGGAUCAUACUUGGGGGCAGCUAGAGUGACAAGUUCCUCUUUAUAACACAAUCAUAAGAUGUUAUGAGCAUCUGAAUAGCAUCCUCUGGAGUAGGAAGCUUGCAGUUCUUUCUGUUUAAUCCCCCUUUUGAGUUAGUCUCUUCCUUAUGGAUUGAAUGUGUUUCUUCUCAUCUUUCAAUGUCACUAGAAAUCAAACAUGGAAGGGAUAUCUUAAGGAUCAAAGCCCAGUGAAAAUGGAAGCUGUCCUGUAGUUUGCUGCUGGAUGACUCUCAGAGGGGGGUGCUGUGUGGCUGUGCCCUCUUUCCUUCCUGAGUGGCCCCGGGUGCAGUCAACCCUUCACAGAACAGCACUGGGGCUUUGAACACCGCAGUAACAACAACAAACAGGGGCCUGGAAAUUUGAGCCUAUUGAAUACCUCACGCCUGCCAACCUCUGUUAGUCACAGCAUUCUUGCUCUCCUACUGACUGGCUGACUGCUGAGGCUUCACUUCCUGGACCACCCUCUCUCUCACAGAGCACCUUUCCUCCUAGCCUUUUAGGAGAACUAGUUAUUCAGAAUGUGGGAAACUUGGUAUUAAAAUCCUAGAGGUUUUCAAGGUACUGUAUUUAUUUAAUUUUUUUUGUAUGUGGCAUACAUAUAUGUUUAUGUUUGCGUGUGCACAUGUGUAUGCCUGUAUGUGUGCAUUUGGUAUAUGGUGUGUUGGGUAGAAACCAGAGGUCAGAUGUAUUAUUGUUCUCCACUUUACUUUUUAAGACAGGGUCUCCCAUAAACCUGGAGCUCAAGGCUUUACCCACACUGAUUGGCUAGUGAGAGUGCGGUUACCCCUGUAGAAAAAUAGUUUUUCUACUUUGGUGCUGGGGUUACAGAUGUAGACCUGUACCCAAGUCUUAAGUGUGGUUUCUGGAUAUUGCAAUUCAGGUCCACAUGGCUGAACAAACUUGAAAGGGAAAUCGCAAGGCUCCCAGCAGCCCAGCGGUAGAAUUAAGGCCCAGCAUAUAUGAAGCUCUGUGGUUAACCCCAGCAUCUGAACAAAAACAAACAGAAGACUGAACAGGGUGGAAGGGUUAGAAAAUGUAACAAAAGAAAAGCCCUACGAGUUAAAAAAAAAAAUGCAAGAAAGAGCCCAUUAAUGGCCCUGAUUGUUCGGGUUGAAUUAAAAAUUUUAAAGAUUGAGAUGAAAAUCUUUUUUUUCUAUUUUUAAAAUAACACCUAAAACUUAAGAUUAAAAAUUUUAACGCUAUAACUUUAAAAAAGUAGGAAAAAAUGUUUAGGCAAGGAGUGUCCUUUAUGAAAAUUCCCGAAAACCUCCUAGAAAAAGAAUCUCUCAAAAUUAUGUCCCCGGGGAACAAUCCUGUGGUCUCCUCAGAGAAACCCCUGGCUAGAUGUUCAGAGGUGUUGACAAUAGUUUAUCACCUCUGGAGUCUCACAAUAUUUGCAUACAAUUACAUAACUAUAAUACAUUUUCUUUUCCUUUAUAUUAUACCUUUGUUUUGCAAGAUACAAAGCAAUAUCAGAUGCUUGCAUACAGCCUAGGUAGGCAUAGUGGGCACAGUAAUGUCGGCAAGUGGGCAGAGUACAGUAGGUGUGAAUAGGUCAUAACACAACAGUGUAUGGUGGGCAUACAGAGGCUAAGAGGGCACAAAGAAGAGAAUUUAAUCGAGAUUUCAUUCUGGACAGCAUAGGAGUAGACAGAAGCCUACAAAGAACAGCCUGAAGAGAACUCUUGGAGGGGAAUUCAGGGGCUUGUAAGUAGUUGAGUGGAUGUGAACUAUGCAGGUUCAGGCAGGGAGGGGAGUACCCAGUAUAUGGUUGGCAGUGAGGUGGGACCAGAACACUGUGAAGUACUUCCAAUACUCACAAGACAAUGCGGAGCCACUGGGUGGAUCAGGUGAGACUGACUCGCACACUUAGUUACUCUACGAAGACUAGAGGCUUUAUUGAGAUUGGGGAAAAAAAAAAAAAAAACAGAGGCAGGAAGGUCUGGGAGACAAUCAGCAAGAAAUUUAAUAGUGACUUUAGCUGGGGAAGUAGAGGCAUUAACUAGGUUAGAGGAUGUAUAGACACCAAGAUGAUUAACUAGGUUAGAGGAUGUAUAGAUACAGAGAUUAACUAGGUUAGAGGAUGUUUAGAUACAAAGAUGAUUAAUUAGGUUAGAGGAUGUAUAGACACAAAGAUGAUUAACUAGGUUAGAGGAUGUAUAGAUAUGGAGAUUAACUAGGUUAGAGGAUGUAUAGAUUCAGAGAUUAACUAGGUUAGAGGAUGUAUAGAUACAGAGAUUGACUGGAUUAGAGGAUGUAUAGAUACAAAGAUGAUUAACUAGGUUAGAGGAUGUAUAGAUACAGAGAUUAACUAGGUUAGUGGAUGUAUAGAUUCAGAGAUUGACUGGGUUAGAGGAUGUAUAGAUUCAGAGAUUGACUGGGUUAGAGGAUGUAUAGAUCAGAGAUUGACUGGGUUAGAGGAUGUAUAGAUCAGAGAUUGACUGGGUUAGAGGAUGUAUAGAUUCAGAGAUUAACUAGGUUAGAGGAUGUAUAGAUGCAAAGAUUAACUAGGUUAGAGGAUGUAUAGAUACAGAAAUUAACUAGGUUAGUAGAUGUAUAGAUUCAGAGAUUGACUGGGUUAGAGGAUGUAUAGAUAUGGAGAUUGACUGGGUUAGAGGAUGUAUAGAUUCAGAGAUUAACUAGGUUAGAGGAUGUAUAGAUACAAAGAUGAUUAACUAGGUUAGAGGAUGUAUAGAUACAGAGAUUAACUAGGUUAGUAGAUGUAUAGAUUCAGAGAUUGACUGGGUUGGAGGAUGUAUAGAUAUGGAGAUUGACUGGGUUAGAGGAUGUAUAGAUACAAAGAUUAACUAGGUUAGAGGAUGUAAAGAUACAGAGAUUAACUAGGUUAGUGGAUGUAUAGAUUCAGAGAUUGACUGGGUUGGAGGAUGUAUAGAUUCAGAGAUUAACUAGGUUAGAGGAUGUAUAGAUACAAAGAUGAUUAAGUAGGUUAGAGGAUGUAUAGAUACAGAGAUUAACUAGGUUAGUGGAUGUAUAGAUUCAGAGAUUGAUUGGGUUAUAAUACAUGAGUUGAUUUAGACAUCCUAAUGUUUGACUGAAUGGGAAGAAGGCAACCACUGAAGGUCUGCUUUUGCUCUUGUUUGAGAGACCUAGUAACUUAAUAAGCUGAUAGGAGCAGAACACGGGUUUUCUGAGCAACGGGCCAGGUGUUGGAAAAACCAGUGGCACACAACUGUUUGUGUUGAUUGUGCUGAAUAGAGAGUACACAGUAUCUUCUCUGAGAAUGGAUUCCGGAGACCAGCAGGUGGGUGACAUGGUGGUUCAUUAGUUUUGAAAAAUUGCCAUGCGUUGUGAGAGUCUUAAUCCAGAGGUCACCAAGUGCAUAGAAGAAAACACAAUUCUGCUUCCAUUACAGCCAACAACUGCUUUGUACUUUUCUGACAAUUACCUUUUAAUUGAGAUCUUCCUGGAAACUGGGGAAGAGAGAGCGGGGGAUGGGGGAAUGCAGCUGGUACAUUUAACACAUUUUACAACUAAUCAUAAAGAUUUAGAGCAGGAUUUAGGAGGGAGCAAAGUCACACUCAAUAGAAAAGGUGAAAGAGAGGAGGAAAAAUACCCCCCUUUUUAAUUCAGGGUGCAUCUUCAGUAAGGAUGAGAAUGUCCUAGUUUUGAACAUAGUCACCUGGGUACAGAGAGGAGCCCUUCUGGAGCCUAAUU
rnacentral:sRNA from 1 species